AACGAACGCUGGCGGCAGGCCUAACACAUGCAAGUCGAGCGCUACCUUCGGGUGGAGCGGCGGACGGGUUAGUAACGCGUGGGAAUAUACCCAGUUCUAAGGAAUAGCCACUGGAAACGGUGAGUAAUACCUUAUACGCCCUUCGGGGGAAAGAUUUAUCGGAAUUGGAUUAGCCCGCGUUAGAUUAGAUAGUUGGUGGGGUAAUGGCCUACCAAGUCUACGAUCUAUAGCUGGUUUGAGAGGAUGAUCAGCAACACUGGGACUGAGGCACGGCCCAGACUCCUACGGGAGGCAGCAGUGGGGAAUCUUAGACAAUGGGCGCAAGCCUGAUCUAGCCAUGCCGCGUGAGUGAUGAAGGCCCUAGGGUCGUAAAGCUCUUUCAACUGUGAAGAUAAUGACGGUAGCAGUAGAAGAAACCCCGGCUAACUCCGUGCCAGCAGCCGCGGUAAUACGGAGGGGGUUAGCGUUGUUCGGAAUUACUGGGCGUAAAGCGUACGUAGGCGGAUUAAUAAGUUAGAGGUGAAAUCCCAGGGCCCAACCCUGGAACUGCCUUUAAUACUGCUAGUCUUGAGUUCGAGAGAGGUAAGUGGAAUUCCGAGUGUAGAGGUAAAAUUCGUA
rnacentral:rRNA from 1 species